CGCCCGGCACCCGGGCCGCGCCCCUCCUUCCAGGCGUAUGCAGUCAACGCGCUUGGGAGCGCCUCCGGGGCGCACAGGCGCGAAAACUCCGCAAUGCACGAAAGUGUGACGGGGCUACCCCGAGUGCCUUCCGCUGAGGAAGGGUUUCCCCGGUAUAACAAGCCGGGGGAAUAAGGAGAGGGCAAGACUGGUGUCAGCCGCCGCGGUAAUCCAGCUCUCCGAGUGGUAGGGAUGAUUAUUGGGCUUAAGCGUCGUAGCCGGCUUUCAAGUCUCUGUUAAUUAGCGACCUAUCGUUAGCCGCGGGAGAUACUCUAGGCUAGGAGGCGGGAGAGGCCGACGGUACUCGGGGUAGGGGUAAAUCCAUUAUCCGGGAGGACCACCAGUGGCGAAGGUGUCGGCUAGAACGCGCUCGACGGUAGGGACGAAAGCUGGGGGAGCGAACCGGAUUAGAUACCCGGGUAGUCCCAGCUUGUAAACGAAUCGGGCUAGGA
rnacentral:rRNA from 1 species